UACGUCACAUGAUGUAGACCGUGCCUGGUGCUUAUUUGUUGCUAUUUAAAUAUACAAAUUGCACUAGUCCCGGCCUGCAGUAAGUGUCGCA
rnacentral:pre_miRNA from 1 species